GACAGAGGGUGCAAACGUUGUUCGGAAUUACUGGGCGUAAAGCGCGUGUAGGCGGCUAAGUAAGUCGGGCGUGAAAUCCCACGGCUCAACCGUGGAAGUGCACUCGAAACUGCAUAGCUAGAGUCCUGGAGAGGAAGGUGGAAUGCUUGGUGUAGAGGUGAAAUUCGUAGAUAUCAAGCGGAACACCGGUGGCGAAGGCGGCCUUCUGGACAGUGACUGACGCUGAGACGCGAAAAGCGUGGGGGAGCAAACAGGGAUUAAGAAA
rnacentral:rRNA from 1 species